AUCGCUUCUCGGCCUUUUGGCUAAGAUCAAGUGUAGUCUCUGGGAAUUCUUAACUUGGCAUUAGGAUCAUAGAUUUAAGAGACUUAGAUUCAUGGAAUUUGAAAGGGGCAAGAUGACGUGGGGUGGAGGUGACCUUUUCAAGGUCACAGGGGGCGGAACUGAAGCAUUCCGCCUUGAAGGCAGCUUCC